AGAACGAACGCUGGCGGCAUGCCUAACACAUGCAAGUCGAACGCUUUUGGGGCUUCGGUCCCAAAGGAGUGGCGCACGGGUGAGUAGCGCGUGGGAACCUGCCCUGUUGUGGGGGAUAACCGAGGGAAACUUCGGCUAAUACCGCAUACGCCCGGGGGAAACUCCGGGGAAAGAUUUAUCGCAGCAGGAGGGGCCCGCGUCGGAUUAGGUAGUUGGUGGGGUAACGGCCCACCAAGCCUGUGAUCCGUAGCUGGUCUGAGAGGAUGAUCAGCCACACUGGGACUGAGACACGGCCCAGACUCCUACGGGAGGCAGCAGUGGGGAAUAUUGGACAAUGGGCGCAAGCCUGAUCCAGCAAUGCCGCGUGAGUGAUGAAGGCCUUCGGGUUGUAAAGCUCUUUCGCACGCGACGGAUGAUGACGGUAGCGUGAGAAGAAGCCCGGCUAACUUCGCGCAGCAGCCGC
rnacentral:rRNA from 1 species